GAAAAAAAAAUCCCAUCGGCACUGCAGUAACACUGCCUGUGAAAUGAACUCUGCUUACAGAGCCUGCGGGUCUUUUAAGCCAAAGCGAUGGAACCAAUAGCAUCGCUGUGUUGAUGUGUCGGCGAAGUACAGAUACUCAUUUAUUUGGCUGCACCAGGUCUUAGGAUGUAGGCAUGCAGGAUAUAAUUCCCUGCCUAAGGAUUGAGCCCAGGACGCCUGCAUUGGGAGUGUGGGGUCAAAGCGACUAGACCACCGCUGACGUUCCCCAGUCCUCCAUUCUUACACAUCCAUUAAAAUUAGUGAGACUUCCUUCUGUUUCAUCAUAAAGCUUUUUCCUCCACAAUAACCGUAUUUAUGGCCACUAGAUCCAUCAUUUUGAAAUGAAAUAAAAACAGAUCAUUUUGGAGAAUAUUCCAAAGAACGGAGACAUGACCCUGUUAACCUCGGAGACUGUGCUGGAGGGGGGUUGGGUAUGAAGGGUUUUGAGCGGCUGUGAAAACCCAAGCUAUGUGGACGAUGGCUUUAAUUCUCCAGAGGGGUUUGCGACGGCAGCCUCUGGCUACAGGAGGGUUGGACCAGGUAUGACUGGCUUCUGGAGGGUGCUCCAGCAGAGAGUGAUGGAGUCACAAAGCCAGCCGCUGGUGAAACCUCAUGCCCAAGGAGAGCUCACGGAGACAUCAAUGAGCUGCGUUUUCAGAGACAAACCGAAUUCCCUCAAAGUGAGCAUCAGCCUUUUGUAGGUUCUCCCUUAUCAUCAAUGGGACCAUCGAGCUUCUAACCUGGAGAGGCCUCUCAGUGGAGACC